CUACGGGCGCUCCAGUGAGGAAUAUUGCACAAUGGGGGGAACCCUGAUGCAGCAACGCCGCGUGGAGGAUGACGCAUUUCGGUGUGUAAACUCCUUUUAUAUGUCAAGAAAAUGACGGUAGCAUAUGAAUAAGCACCGGCUAACUCCGUGCCAGCAGCCGCGGUAAUACGGAGGGUGCAAGCGUUACUCGGAAUCACUGGGCGUAAAGGACGCGUAGGCGGGUUGGAAAGUCAGGUGUGAAAUCCUACAGCUUAACUGUAGAACUGCACUUGAAACUUCUAAUCUAGAGGAUGGUAGGGGGAGAUGGAAUUAGUGGUGUAGGGGUAAAAUCCGUAGAUAUCACUAGGAAUACCUAAAGCGAAGGCGAUCUCCUGGAACAUUACUGACGCUAAGGCGUGAAAGCGUGGGGAGCAAACAGGAUUAGAUACCCGAGUAGUC
rnacentral:rRNA from 1 species